GCUACUCAAAUAAAGCAUAUGGUGGAUGCCUUGGCAUAAUGUGCCGAAGAAGGACGUAAUAAGCCGCGAUAGUCGUCGGUGAGGAGCUAAUAUCCUUUGACCCGGCGGUGUCCGAAUGGGGUAACCCCGGUUCGUGUAAACGGACUGGACCGAGAGAUUUAUCUUUCGGUCGGUAACCCGGAGAACUGAAACAUCUAAGUACCCGGAGGAAAAGAAAUCGAAUGAGAUUUCCUUAGUAGCGGUGAGCGAAAAGGAAAUAGCCUAAACCCAUAUUUAUAUGGGUGUUGCAGGACCAGAUAUAUGAUGUUGUUUCGAUAGAAGAACACCGUGGAAUAGGUGGCCAUAGAGAGUGACAGCCUCGUAAUCGAAAUUGAAGCAACAUUAAUUUGGCACCUAAGUACGUUGGGAGACGGCAAACUCCCUGCGGAAUCCGCCCCGACCACGGGGCAAGGCUAAAUACACAUUAUGACCGAUAGUGAACGAGUACCGUGAGGGAAAGGUGAAAAGAUGGGUGAGACACCCAGUGAAAUAGUACCUGAAACCGUAUGCUAACAAACAGACAGAGCUUCGAUUUAUCGGAGUAAUGUCGUGCCUAUUGAAGAAUGACCCGUCGAGUUUGCAUGUACUGCUAGUCUAAGUGAUAUCGUCACGGAGGCGUAGUGAAAGCGAGGAUGAAUAGUCCGUUUAGCAGUGCGUCCAAGACCCGAAACCGGUGUGAGCUAACCAUGAGCAGGGUGAACUGUGAGUAAAAUCACAGGAAGGCCCGAACCAGUAACUGCUGCAAAAGUUUUGGAUGACUUGUGGUUAGGGGUAAUAUGCCAAUCGAACCCGGAGAUAGCUGGUUCUCCCCGAAAUAUAUUUAGGUAUAGCCUUGAGUAAUUGCAUGCGUGGGGGUAGAGCACUGAAAAGGUAUAGUGAAGCAAUUCAUUGUACUUUAUCAAACUCCGAAUACCAUGUAUGUUUAUCUCAGGAGUCAGUCCUUGGGAGCUAAGUUCCAGGGGCAAAAGGGAAACAACCCAGAUCGUCAAUUAAGGUCUCAAAAUCAUAGCUAAGUGGCUCAAGGAAGUCAUAAUCCAUAUACAGCUAGGAGGUCGGCUCAGAAGCAGCCAUCCUUGAAAGAAAGCGUAACAGCUCACUAGUCUCGGAUUGUGGCGCCGAAGAUCCAACGAGGCUCAAGCUAUGUACCGAAAUUACGGAUUGUCACACAUUUAUGUGUGAUUCUGGUAGGGGAGCGUUCUAACAGCAGUGAAGUCGUUUUGUAAGAAACGGUGGAGCGGUUAGAAGUGAGAAUGGCGGGAUGAGUAGCGAGAUGGAGGUGAGAAUCCUCCACACCGUAUGUUCCAGGUUUCCCACGCAACGUUCGUCGGCGUGGGGUUAGGCGGCCCUAAGGUGAGGCUGGUGUAAUGCCGGCGUAGCCGAUGGAUUACCGGUUGAUAUUCCGGUUCUCUAGGGCGUUCGUUAUCAGCUUGGGGAGGGACGGUUUAGGAAGAGCGGGGCGCAUUACAUGAAUUUGCGUCCAAUCGCUGAGGCAGUUGGCUAUAGGAAAAUCCGUAGCCGGCGUUACAACCCGAGGUGUUAUGGGGAAUGUGGACCUUGUGUCCGCGUGACUCCGCAACCUUUCUGAAUCCAAGAAAAUCUUCAUGAGCGAGAAUGUUUUAGAUCCGUACCGCAAACCGACACAGGUGAACUGGUAGAGUAUACCAAGGUGAGCGAGAGAACCUUCCUUAAGGAACUCGGCAAAUUAGCUAGGCGUAACUUAGGGAGAUGCCUAACCUGUUUUUUUGGUACUUGUAUCAAAAAAAUGGGUCGCAGAUAAAGACUAUGAGGUGACUGUUUAACAAAAACACAGGUCUGUGCGAAGACGUAAGUCAACGUAUACGGGCUGAGGCCUGCCCAGUGCCAGAAGGUUAACUGAGAGGGUAACCCCGACUUGUUCGGGAUAGCCUUUGAUUGAAGCCCUGGUGAACGGCAGCAGUAACUAUAACUGUUCUAUGGUUAAGGAUAUACAAAUCGUUGCCAUAGUGAGGUAGUCAAGGAUUGUCGGUUUUGUAGAUGGUGAAGGUUGUUUCUCUGUGAGUACGUUCAAAAACGAUACGUGCUCAAGUGGUUAUCAAACUCUUUUUGAGUUUGUCAUCACUCAGGGAGAAAAGAGCCGUUCCUCACUCGAACAAAUCGAAAGAUUUUUUCAGUGCGGGCACAUUUACAUUAAUCAUCGACAUGAUAAUCACCAUGAAAAUAUAUUGCGAUAUUGUGUGAGGCGGCAAACUGAUCUUAAAAAGAUCAUAAUUCCGUUUUUUACUAAAUAUCAGCUUUAUACAACUAAACGUCAGCAAUUUGAAAAUUUCUGUCGCAAGUUGAACGAAAGAGUAUCCCCAGAGACUAUACGCAAAGCAUCGCGAAAGCGUAAAGAUAUAGUCCGAUCUCAUGAGCGAUCAUGAGUCAACAAUUUAGAGCGAAAUUCCUUGUCGGGCAAGUUCCGACCUGCACGAAUGGCGUAACAAUCUCAUGACUGUCUUGAGGAGGGACUCGGCGAAAUUGAAAUGGCUGUGAAGAUGCGGCCUACUGGUAACAGGACAAAAAGACCCCGUGGAGCUUUACUGUACCUUGACACUGAAAUUUAUGUUUUGACUGUGUAGCGUAGGUGGGAGGCGCAAGCCGAUCAUGUAACACCACUCUUUGAAACGUGAGUUUCUCACUUAUCUUGCUCAAUCGCGAGAGAGGACACUGUCUGGGGGGCAGUUUAACUGGGGAGGUUGCUUGCUAAAGAGU
rnacentral:rRNA from 1 species